rnacentral:tRNA from 1 species
AGCAGAGUGACAGUGCUGGCUUGUGUCUGGUUUAGAACCUGACAGACCUGGUUUAAAUCCUGGCUUUGCCU